rnacentral:snoRNA from 2 species
CUUCUUAUGAUGAAAACUGUGUCCAGUUCUGCUACUGAAGGGAAACAGAUGAAAGCCUUAAGUGCUGAGGAAG